AAUCCUAGAACGCCAUUGCGCUCGGUUUUGUGUCAUGUCCUCCGUUAGAUCCAAGUACUCUAAGUCUUUUCUUAGAGUCUCUUCCAAAGUUUUCCUAGGUCUUCCUCUACCCCUUCGGCCCUGAACCUCUGUCCUGUAGUCACAUCUUCGAACCGGAGCAUCAGUAGGCCUUCUUUGCACAUGUCCAAAUCACCGGAACCGAUUUUCUCUCAUCUUUCAUUCAAUUUCGGCUACUCCUACUUUACCUCGGAUAUCCUCAUUCCCAAUCUUAUCCUUUCUCGUGUGCCCACACAUCCCACGAAGCAUCCUCAUCUCCGCCACACCCAUUUUGUGUACGUGUUGAUGCUUCAACGCUCAACAUUAUGUGCCAUACAACAUCGCUGGCCUUAUUGCCGUCCUAUAAAAUUUUCCCUUGAGCUUCAGUGGCCUACGACGGUCACACAACACGCCGGAUGCACUCUUACACUUCAUCCAUCCAGCUUGUAUUCUAUGGUUGAGAUCUCCAUCUAAUUCUCCAUUCUCUUGCACGAUAGAUCCUAGGUAGCGAAAAUGGUCGCUUUUUGUGAUCUUCGCUAGAUUGCUCCGGUCAUUAGUGUGGAUAAGUAUAUAAAUGGAUAGAGACAGGAAAGCAAACAUAAGAUGUACGUGGUUCACCCAGAUUGGCUACGUCCACGGAAUAGAGGAGUUCUCAUUAAUUGUGAAAUGUUUACACAAGUACAUAGGUUCAAGCUCUCCUUUAGUGAGUACAAGUGAAUGAUUUAGUACAAAUGACAUUAGGAAAUAUUGUGGGAGAAUGAUCUCGUAAUCACGAAACUUCUAAGUAUCGGAGUGCGGUAUCGUCUUGACUUGCCUUAUCUGUCUCAUAGGUAGAUGUGGCAUCUUCUCUGGAAGUACUCUUCCUCCAUUCAGGGGUGGUAUCUUUAACUGGUGGAGAUGCACAAGGUAAUGUAUCAAUUUCACUUGAAGCUUACUUGUAGUUUCAGGCUUGGUCAAGCGCGAUACAAACCAUGUAGUAGGAGUCCCCCAAGUCGCCGAGCUAGAGGAUCUGCUGAAAGAGGUGACAGACAAGGUAAGCAAUCAGAGCUCCGGCUGAUUGUUCACAUUCUCCCUAUCUUGCAGGCAGCAUGAAGGAUAAAGAGAAGAAAAUGAGAAGAGAUGAUAUGGGAUACUUUUGCUUUUGAAGAAGUAACUUUCCACAGGCUUAUUCUUGAACUGAGCUGGAGGGUUUUCUGGUUUCCUCCAGAGUAUAAGGCCGACUGAAGAAUUUGAGGGUCAAAACAAGUCCAUCAAAUCUAGAGUACGUUCGACCCUGCUGAUAUGAGAUACUUUUGCUUUGACAGAGUAAUGGAUGUAUCGGCACGUGUGCUGUUUCGCUUGUCUCCACAUGCUUCCUUGUAUCCUUCUCCCUUGCCCUAUCUGUUCCUCAGGCAGAUGCGGUAUCUUUCCUGGAAGCAUAAGAUGUUGAAGAUGAGUACUCGAGAGCAAUGGCAGGUAAGUAAUCAGGUAAGGGGUUCCAGGCAGUCAGUUCCUGGCUGGAAGCUUGAUUCCAAGUGCUGACUGAUUGCUCUCUUUCUCCUUGUCUUGCAGAUAAGAACAAGGCCAAAGGAAAAGACAGGGAAAAAGCAUGAUAUGGGAUACUCUUGCUUUUAACCCUGAUGAUAUGAGAUAUUCUUGCUCUAGUAUAGCUUGUUUGCAGAGAUAUUAUCGGGGGGAAAGAAAGCUGAAUAUUUCGAAAGGCUUCAUUGAGAGUGCCCUCUCAGAUAUGAGGAAGGGUUGAGCAUUUUUGCAGGUCUGCCUGUCCGUUGGGAAUAGAGGUCGACAUAUAUAGGAGUCUCCUUAACAACAAGUAGUAAUGCUAUUCCUUUACCCUACUUGGUCAUAGCACGGUAGUGGGAGCUGCUAGCUUCACAUGUUUUAACUCUGUCAGAGCACUUUGAAAAAGUGGUCUGUGGUAUCUGGAAAGGUGAUGUUGCGUGUGAAGAUUACAGACAGCUUUAUCCAAGGAGAUCCGGCUCUUGAAGUUGGGAAAGUGUUACCUCUUCGGUUUUCGAACAAGCAAUCCUAUCGGGGAUCUGGCUCUCGAGAUUCGGAGAACGAUGCCUCUUCGAUUUUUGAGAAAGCAAUCAUGUUGGGGGUCUGGCUCUCGAGAUUCGGAGAGCGGUGUCUCUUCGAUUUUUGAGAAAGUAAUCAUGUUGGGAGUCUGGCUCUCGAGAUUCGAAGGGCGGUGCCUCUUCGAUUUUGGAGCAAGCAAACUUGUGGGGAGUGUUUUCUCGAAUGUGAGUAAAGGUUGGGCAUGUUUGCUAGUCUACCUUGCCACGAAGCACAGAGGUUGACACAUAGGGACUUUCCAAUUAUCCAGCAAUGGUACUGUUCUUUUACCCUCUCUUCGAUUUUUGAGAAAGUAGUCAUGUUGGGAGUCUGGCUCUCGAGAUUCGGAGGACGGUGCCUCUUCGAUUUUGGAGCAAGCAAUCUUGUUGGGAGUGUUUUCUCGAAUGUGAGUAAAGGUUGGGCAUGUUUGCUAGUCUACCUUGCCACGAAGCACAGAGGUUGACACACAGGGACUUUCCAAUUAUCCAGCAGUGGUACUGUUCCUUUACCCUUGUGGGUAAUAAUAUGGUAGCUAGACCUUCAAAAUUUAUGUGUCUAAACUUUGUUAGUGUUGUUUCUUUGCUAUUCUUUUACCCUUCUUGGUCAGAGCGAUGUAGUGGGAGUUGCAAGCUUCACGUGCUCAACUUUGGCAGAGAACUUUGGCAAAGUUAUCUGUGGUACCCAUGAGCUACUGUUGCGUGUGGGAAGUGGGUGAUUGAACAGUAAGACUCAUGUGCUUUCUACUUCACCAGAAGUCUUUGACAGAAUGCCCAUAAUUUCCGCAAAGCUGAGUGUGCGUGUGACAGGUGCUGACAAGGCUGGAAAAGUAGGUGCCUCUUCGAUUUCUGAGAUCGGCCCUCGUGGUCUCUGAGCAGCCCAGCUUUUGAGAAAGCAAGCGCCUCUUCGAUUUCUGAGAUCGGCCUUCGUGGUCUUUGAGCAACCCAGCUUUUGAGAAAGCAAAGGCCUUUUCAAUUUCUGAGAUCGACCCUCGUGGUCUCUGAGCAGCCCAGCUUUUGAGAAAGCAAACGCCUCUUCGAUUUCAGAGCAGGCGCCUCUUCGAUUUCUGAAGCUCUGUCGAGUGCAGAUUUUUAUAAGGGCUGGCAUUAAGUUCCAAAGCACACUUGAAUCUCCACCAGUAGAAGCUCCAUUCUUGCACUUCUUAGAUCUUGAUUUGUUCGACCUCUUCUCUCUUCAACACCUUUGAAAAUGUUGGGCCCCUCCGACCGUCGUUUUGACUUGAACCUUGUUGAAGAGGCAGCUCCGCUUUCUCCAGACAACAUAUGGCGCCCAUCCUUCGUCUCCCCUACUGGUUCUCUUACUGUUGGGGAUUCCAUGAUGAAGAAUGAUAUGACCGCUGCGGUGGUGGCCAGGAACCUUCUCACUCCCAAAGAUAACAGACUACUUUCCAAAAGGUCUGAUGAGUUAGCUGUUAAGGAUUCUCUGGCUCUCAGUGUUCAGUGUGCAGGUUCUGUGUCUAAUAUGGCCCAAAGCCUAUUUGCUCGAACCCGCCAAGUUGAAUCAUUGGCGGCUGAAGUGAUGAAUCUCAAACAUGAGAUUAGAGGGCUCAAGUAUGAGAAUAAACAGUUGCACCGGCUCGCACAUGACUAUGCUACAAACAUGAAGAGGAAGCUUGACCAGAUGAAGGAAUCUGAUGGUCAGGUUUUACUUGAUCAUCAGAGAUUUGUGGGUUUAUUCCAAAGGCAUUUAUUGCCUUCGUCUUCUGGGGCUGUACCGCGUAAUGAAGCUCCAAAUGAUCAACCUCUGAUGCCUCCUCCUUCUAGGGUUCUGUCCAGUACUGAGGCUCCAAAUGAUCCUCCUCCGGUGCCUUCUCUUUCUGGGGCUCUACCGACUGCUGAGACUUCUCCUAAGCAACCUUUGUGAAGGCUCCAUCUUGUUUGUUUAUUUUGACUUAUGUAUAUGUACAUAUUUGUAGUUUAUCGGGGAUAUCAAUAAAUAAGCUUUCCUUCAUUUCAACGUAUUAUGUUAAUUACACCAAAGCCUUCUUCGCUAAGUUCUUUGAAUUUUCUUUUGUUGAAGCUUUGUGAGUGGAGCAUGUAGGUUGAGGUAGUGUUCCCUUAAUUUCCUGAGUGAGGAAAACUUCUCGGUUGGAGACUUGGAAAAUCCAAGUCACUGAGUGGGAUCGGCUAUAUGAAUCUUAAAACGCCAUUGUGCUCGGUCCUAUGUCAUGUCCUUCGUUAGAUCCAAGUACUCUAAGUCUUUUCUUAGAGUCUCUUCCAAAGUUUUCCUAGGUCUUCCUCUACCCCUUUGGCCCUGAACCUCUAUCCCAUAGUCGCAUCUUCUAAUCGGAGCGUCAGUAGGCCUUCUUUGCACAUGUCCAAACCACCGUAACCGAUUUUCUCUCAUCUUUCCUUCAAUUUCGGCUACUCCUACUUUACCCCGGAUAUCCUCAUUCCUAAUCUUAUCCUUUCUCGUGUGCCCACACAUCCAACGAAGCAUCCUCAUCUCCG
rnacentral:lncRNA from 1 species